AACUUUCAGCAACGGAUCUCUUGGCUCUCGCAUCGAUGAAGAACGCAGCGAAAUGCGAUAAGUAAUGUGAAUUGCAGAAUUCAGUGAAUCAUCGAAUCUUUGAACGCACCUUGCGCUCCUUGGUAUUCCGAGGAGCACACCUGUUUGAGUGUCGUGU
rnacentral:rRNA from 1 species